rfam:Bacteria symbiont BFo2 of Frankliniella occidentalis strain BFo2 contig238, whole genome shotgun sequence.
UAUUGCUAACCAGCACGGGCGUAGGAGUUUCUCCACGCCCGUGCUCUCAUGUUAAGGGCAAGAACGAUGGC